GAACUCUUCGGAGGGAAGGCAGCGGAAUGAGCGGCGGACGGGUGAGUAACACGUAAGGAACCUGCCUCAAGGAUUGGGAUAACUCCGAGAAAUCGGAGCUAAUACCGGAUAGUUCAACGGACCGCAUGGUCCGCUGAUGAAAGGCGCUUCGGCGUCACCUUGAGAUGGCCUUGCGGUGCAUUAGCUAGUUGGUGGGGUAACGGCCCACCAAGGCGACGAUGCAUAGCCGACCUGAGAGGGUGAUCGGCCACACUGGGACUGAGACACGGCCCAGACUCCUACGGGAGGCAGCAGUAGGGAAUCUUCCACAAUGGACGAAAGUCUGAUGGAGCAACGCCGCGUGAGUGAUGAAGGUUUUCGGAUCGUAAAACUCUGUUGUAAGGGAAGAACACGUACGAGAGGUAAUGCUCGUACCUUGACGGUACCUUACGAGAAAGCCACGGCUAACUACGUGCCAGCAGCCGCGGUAAUACGUAGGUGGCAAGCGUUGUCCGGAAUUAUUGGGCGUAAAGCGCGCGCAGGCGGCCUUUUAAGUCUGAUGUGAAAGCCCCCGGCUCAACCGGGGAGGGCCAUUGGAAACUGGAAGGCUUGAGUACAGAAGAGAAGAGUGGAAUUCCACGUGUAGCGGUGAAAUGCGUAGAGAUGUGGAGGAACACCAGUGGCGAAGGCGACUCUUUGGUCUGUAACUGACGCUGAGG
rnacentral:rRNA from 1 species